CUUUGUCUAAACAGGAAGGAUGAUCACACUGUUUGUCACGCUUUCCUCUCUGCUUUGUCUCUGCACAGAUGUAAAAACUUCUGACAUCAAGGAGCUUCAUGUGAAAACAGUAAAGCGUGGAGAAGAUGUAACUAUGGAGUGUAACAUUAGCAUGAUCACAAACAAAAAGGAUUUAGUUUGGUACAGACAGAGUUUUGGAAAAUUGCCUCAGUUUUUGGCAAAACCAUACAGUAAUACUUUGGGCUACACAUUUGAUACAGGAUUUAACGAUAUUCGUUUCAGUAUUACUGUAAACCAGCAUAAGUUUGAUCUCAACAUUCAAGAAACGAGAGAAGAGGAUGGAGGAGAAUAUUUCUGUGGAGAAAUUGAGGGAAAUGUGAUAAGGUUCACAUCUGGAACACGUCUGGAAUUCCAAAUUGAAGAGACCAAACUCCGUAAGCUGAAGAGGACAGAUUCUGUUAUACUCCACUGUUCAAACAGCAGCAAUGUAGAAGUAUGUUAAGGAAGUCUAUCCAGACUUCUCUAUCCCAAGCCACAGAGUCCAGGUCCUCCUGGGGGAUCCCACAACAUUCCUAAGCCAACUCUGAGGUAUAAUCACUGCCCCAAGGACUCCAUCCAGUGGGAUGUGCCUGGUGCAGCUCUACCCACAUAAACACAUUCCACAUAUUUUGAUAAGGUUGAGGUCAGGUCUUGUUGUUCGCUUAAUGUUAUCUUGCUUUAUCCUCCACAACCAGCUUUGAUGUGUGUUUGGGCCAUUGUCCUUUUGGAACACACAACCGUUUCCAAGUUUCUUCAUUAUUCCAAGCACUUUGUGCAAUGCACCAAUUCCACUGGCAGGAAAACAUGAUGCUACCACCACCAUGCUUAACAGUUGGUACAGUGUUCUUCUGUACCUCUGGUCAUUGUGGCCAAACAACUCAAUCUUUGUCUCAUUUAACCAUAAAAAUUUCCUCCAGAAGGCUUUUUUUGAUCAGCUGCAAACUUUAGUCAAGAUUGAAGGUGUUGAUUUUGGAGCAGGGGCAUCUUUCUUGGACAGUAGCUUCUCAGUCCAUGAUGAUGUAAAAUUUGCUUGACAGUAGAUAGUGUUCCAGCAGCUUCUAGUUCAUGGCAGGUCUAAGCCUUUGUUGAGUGCGCUGUCCAGGAAAGUAACAGAUUUUGCAACAUCAAUUUGAAUCCUGGCACUGACAAAUAUCUGAGCAGGCUAUUUUUUCUAUUCAAGUACUGUAGCUUCUGUCUCCCACUCAAACGAAGGCUGAGCUCAGACCUGUACAGGUCUCUAGUUUAAAAAAUAACAUGAGAUUAUUGACUAACACAUUUUAUACUCCUUGGGAGUUAGGCAGUGCCUAAAUAUAUAUUAGCUUUGAAUGUCUAUCCUAUUCUAGUUAAUCUGCUUGCAUGGCCUGAAUCCCUUUUCCAUGGAUGGUGUUUAUUGUUGGCACAGCAUUGGGUUUGAGUCUAAUGCGCCCUGUGUAGCCCAAGAGCUUAGCCUGUAGAUUCCUUUCAAAGCAGUCGUGCUCAAAAUGGUCCUCGCAAACAACAGAAAGAAUGUUAAAGCACUGUUUUAUGUGAAACAAUGUGAUAGUACAGGGGAGUCAAAAUGCAUUUGUGCAAAAUUUGUAAUAUUUCUAGCCUUUGUUUAUUUUUUGCUGUGGAAACCCUUUAAAAAGACAUUUUGGAACUUUCAGCAUCACUGAAUUAAUAAUCUAAGUAGAUAUAUGUAUAUUUUUAUCCUAUAUGUAUAAUCUUGACCCUGUGUUGAUUUCAGAGAACCCAAAAUAAAUUAAAACUU